rnacentral:rRNA from 1 species
UACGUAGGGUGCAAGCGUUGUCCGGAAUUAUUGGGCGUAAAGAGCUCGUAGGCGGUUUGUUGCGUCGGCUGUGAAAUCCCGAGGCUCAACCUCGGGUCUGCAGUCGAUACGAGCAAACUAGAGUGUUGCAGGGGAGACUGGAAUUCCUGGUGUAGCGGUGAAAUGCGCAGAUAUCUGGAGGAACACCGGUGGCGAAGGCGGCAUCCUGGACCAAUGCUGACGCUGAGGAGCGAAAGCCAGGGGAGCAAACGGG